UAAUUCCAGCUCCAAUAGCGUAUAUUAAACUUGUUGCAGUUAAAAAGCUCGUAGUUGAAUUUCUGCUGUAUCGUUUUCCUAAUGCUUGACAGUUGGAUUUCGUUACGGCUUAGUUGGGUUACAGCUCUUGUUACCCAACGUUUACUUUGAGAAAAUUAGAGUGCUUCAAGCAGGCUUUUGCCUUGAAUACUUUAGCAUGGAAUAAUGGAGUAGGACUUUGGUUCUAUUUUGUUGGUUUUAGGAGCCAGAGUAAUGGUUAAUAGGAACAGUUGGGGGCAUUCGUAUUUGACUGUCAGAGGUGAAAUUCUUAGAUUUGUCAAAGACGAACUACUGCGAAAGCAUUUGCCAAGGAUGUUUUCAUUAAUCAAGAACGAAAGUUAGGGGAUCGAAGACGAUCAGAUACCGUCGUAGUCCUAACUAUAAACGAUGCCGACUAGAGAUUGGAGGUCGUCAGUUUGAACGAC
rnacentral:rRNA from 1 species